CAGGAGUGAAGCUUCUGUCUGCUGCACUGCAGAGUCCACAUUGUACACUGGAAACUCUCAGAUUGAAGGGCUGUGGUUUGUCAGAGAUCAGCUGUGAUUAUCUGGCAGCAGCUCUGAAGUCCAACCCCUCGUAUCCCAGAGUGCUGGACCUGAGUGUAGACUACAACAACCUGCAGGAUUCAGGAGUGAAGCAGCUGUGUGUUCUUCUGGAGAAUUCACGAUGUCGAUUUGAAAUUCUGAGAUUGAAGGGCUGUGAUUUGUCAGAGAUCAGCUGUGAUUAUCUGGCAGCAGCGCUGAAGUCCAACCCCUCGUAUCCCAGAGUGCUGGACCUGAGUGGAACCUACAACAACCUGCAGGAUUCAGGAGUGAAGCAGCUGUGUGUUCUUCUGGAGAAUCCACAAUGUCGAUUUGAAACUCUGAGGUCAGUCA